rnacentral:rRNA from 1 species
AGUGAACGUUGGCGGCGUGGAUUAGGCAUGCAAGUCGAGCGAGAACCGUAGCAAUACGGGGACAGCGGCGAAAGGGACAGUAAUGUGUAGGUACCUACCCCGAGGUCUGGGAUAGCUGCGGGAAACUGCAGGUAAUACCGGAUAAUGUCUGCGGACCGAAGGUGUGAUUCCACCCUGGGAGGGGCCUGCAUCCUAUUAGCUUGUUGGCGGGGUAACGGCCCAUCAAGGCGACGAUGGGUAGCGGGUGUGAGAGCACGACCCGCGUCAUUGGGACUGAGACACUGCCCAGACACCUACGGGUGGCUGCAGUCGAGGAUCUUCGGCAAUGGGCGCAAGCCUGACCGAGCGACGCCGCGUGCGGGAUGAAGGCCUUCGGGUUGUAAACCGCUGUCGUAGAGGAGGAAAUGCAGGGGGGUUCUCCCUUCUGUUUGACCUAUUCUAGGAGGAAGGACGGGCUAAGUUCGUGCCAGCCGCCGCCGUAA